rnacentral:rRNA from 1 species
GACGAACGCUGGCGGCGUGCUUAACACAUGCAAGUCGAACGGAAAGGCCCUGCAUUUGUACGGUGCUGGUGUGGCGAAAGGGUGAGUAUCACGUGUGUAACCUGCCCUUGUCUUUGGGAUAACUUCAUGAAACUGGGACUAAUACCGGAUAGAAGCUCCUGCUGCAUGGUGGGUAUGGGAGAAUUUCGGCGGUUGGGGAUGGACUCGCGGAUUAUCAGCUUGUUGGUGGGGUAGUGGCUUACCAAGGCUUUGACGGGUAGCCGGCUUGAGAGGGUGACCGGCCACAUUGGGACUGAGAUACGGCCCAGACUCCUACGGGAGGCAGCAGUGGGGAAUAUUGCACAAUGGGCGGAAGCCUGAUGCAGCAACGCCGCGUGCGGGAUGACGGCCGUCGGGUUGUAAACCGCUUUCGCCUGUGACGAAGCGUGAGUGACGGUAAUGGGUAAAGAAGCACCGGCUAACUACGUG